AAGGCAGUGCUCUUGGGGCGUCGCCACCAUGGCCUGGACUCUGCUCCUUCUCACCCUCCUCACUCAGGGUACAGGGUCCUGGGCCCAGUCUGCCCUGACUCAGCCUGCGUCAGUGUCCGGGGCUCUAGGACAGUCGGUCACCAUCACCUGUGCUGGAAGCAGCAGUGACAUUGGGGGUUAUAAUGCUGUCACCUGGUUGCAACAGCACCCGGGCACAGCCCCCAAAGUUCUGAUUUAUAGUGUGAAUACUCGGGCCUCAGGGAUCCCUGAUCGCUUCUCUGGCUCCAAGUCUGGCAACACGGCCUCCCUGACCAUCUCUGGGCUCCAGGUUGAGGACGAGGCUGAUUAUUACUGUACCUCGGUUGUGAGUGGUUACACUUUCCACAGUGGUCCAAGUUCAUGGGGAAGUGAGACCAAAACCUCUUCUGAGCUCACAUGA